rnacentral:sRNA from 1 species
GGCUCGCGGCCGGCUCCGUGCCGCAUCGCUCGGGUGCAGCGCAGCUCAGCGCAGCGCGGCGGCCUUUCGGCAGCCGAACGGCCGCGGCAGUUCAGGACAAAGAGGUGUGGGCAGGCCACUGGGCCGGCUGGUAACAUCAUGGCAGAGAAAGUGAACAACUUCCCACCAUUGCCCAAAUUCAUCCCGCUGAAGCCAUGUUUCUACCAAGACUUCGAGGCAGAUAUUCCUCCCCAGCAUCUCAGCAUGACCAAGCGCCUCUACUACCUCUGGAUGUGUGAGUGCCGUGGGAUGGGGGUGGGCCAGGGUGGCUGGAGGAGGAAGGAAGACUGGGCAUGCUGGGCAGCGGGGUGGGGUGCCCACAGGCCUGACUGUCCUUCAGUCCCACUUGUGGCAUAUGCAUGGACCAUAAGUCUUCCCCUGCCAGGCUCCCAGAGGCUUCUUCCAUGGGCCACCUCCCCGACUGGGCCUCAGUUUCCCUCAACCUCCCCCAUCUAGGCCUCUCCUCCCUUCCUUCCCCUCCACCCUCUUUUCACAGAGCGUCUGGACGGGGGUCCCUCUCUGCAGUGUAAUCCCUGUCUUCUUGCUUCCCCUUU